rnacentral:rRNA from 1 species
UGAACGCUAGCGGCAGGCUUAACACAUGCAAGUCGAGGGCAGCAUGACACGGAGAUUCGUCGAAGUGUUGAUGGCGACCGGCGCAAGGGUGCGUAACGCGUGAGCAACUUGCCCGUUUCAGGGGGAUAACCGGUGGAAACGCCGACUAAUACCCCAUAGCAUCAACUUCAGGCAUCUUUAGUUGAUUAAAGAUUUAUCGGUAACGGAUGGGGAUGCGUGACAUUAGGUAGAUGGCGGGUAACGGCCCACCAUGCCUACGAUGUCUAGGGGUUCUGAGAGGAAGGUCCCCCACACUGGAACUGAGACACGGUCCAGACUCCUACGGGAGGCAGCAGUGAGGAAUAUUGGUCAAUGGGAGGAAUCCUGAACCAGCCAUGCCGCGUGCAGGAAGACGGCUCUAUGAGUUGUAAACUGCUUUUGUACGAGGGUAAACCCAGGUACGUGUACCUGUCUGAAAGUAUCGUACGAAUAAGGAUCGGCUAACUCCGUG